rnacentral:SRP_RNA from 1 species
AGGUCGGCAGCGGACGGACCGCUCGCCAACCCGGUCAGGUCCGGAAGGAAGCAGCCGUAACGAGUUUCCGGUCCGGGUCGCCCGCCGGCCUUCC